rnacentral:lncRNA from 1 species
AAAUAUUUGCGAUUGCGCUUAAUUUCAUCGUAAUUAUUAUUAUUAGUCUUUCAUUAACCUUAAUUACUCCUAAUACCUCUUCAGUACUCACUAUAUA